rnacentral:rRNA from 1 species
UAACCGGAUUAGAUACCCUGGUAGUCCACGCCCUAAACGAUGCGAACUGGAUGUUGGGUGCAAUUUGGCACGCAGUAUCGAAGCUAACGCGUUAAGUUCGCCGCCUGGGGAGUACGGUCGCAAGACUGAAACUCAAAGGAAUUGACGGGGGCCCGCACAAGCGGUGGAGUAUGUGGUUUAAUUCAAUGCAACGCGAAGAACCUUACCUGGCCUUGACAUGUCGAGAACUUUCCAGAGAUGGAUUGGUGCCUUCGGGAACUCGAACACAGGUGCUGCAUGGCUGUCGUCAGCUCGUGUCGUGAGAUGUUGGGUUAAGUCCCGCAACGAGCGCAACCCUUGUCCUUAGUUGCCAGCACGUAAUGGUGGGAACUCUAAGGAGACCGCCGGUGACAAACCGGAGGAAGGUGGGGAUGACGU